rnacentral:miRNA from 1 species
UGGGUAAACUCCCAAUGAUCCG